rnacentral:rRNA from 1 species
UUCCAAGGGAUACACACAUCUUCUGUUUCAGAGGCUAACAGAAAGCGAAACAAAACAUCACAGAGGACGGGCCGCAAUGCAAGAAUGAGGGUGAAGGUGCAGGAGGAUGACACAUGCGUGGUAGUGGACAUUGAGUACAAUCAUAAUCACCAGCUCAUGCAAACUGAUGACAUGCUGGUAUUCUUGCACUCACACAAGAAUUAUGACCCCACUAUUCUGGAGUAUGUAAAGCUCCUGCAGUACCAUGAUGUCAAGCACACAACAAUCAUGUCCAUGCUAUCUGAAAAUGAAGAUGGAAGCUACUUCCUAAGCAUGACCGGACGAGACCUACUAAACCAGAAAGCCAUGAAUGCAAGGAAAGAUGAUUUGGAUGAUGUAUUAAAACUUGUUUCAUUCUUCAAAGACAUGAUGGCAAUAAAUGAUGAGUUUUUCUAUGACAUCCAAUCCAAUGCAAGCUGCCGAGGAGCCUAUCAAGACUUCGGCGAUUGCGUAACAUUUGACACGACUUACAAGACCAACAGAUUUCAUAUGCCCCUGAGAGUGUUUGUUGGAACAAACCAUCACUUGCAGUCAACGAUAUUUGCUGUUGCCCUGGUAAGAGACGAAGAUGCAAAGUCAUUCAAGUGGCUGUUCGAUACAUUUCUAUGGUGCAUGAACAACAAGCACCCAACUUGCAUUCUAACAGACCAGUGCCCAUCGACGGCGAAAGCUAUACCACAAUCAUUUCCAAACACCGUCCACAAGCUAUGCUGUCGGCACAUAUUGAAGAAGUACAGGGAAUACCUCGCGCUGCUGUACAAAAAGUAUAAAACAUUCAAAGAGGAGUUCACAGCUAUAUUGAACUGGCCACUGAUGCCAACGGAGUUUGAAGAUGUCUGGGCUGAACUCGUGCACAAGUACCACCUGGAGAACGACCAGAUGAUGAUGCAGCUCUGGAGUGAUAGGAAGAUGUGGAUUUCAGCAUAUUACAAGAACAUUUUCUGUGCUAGAAUGACUUCCACACAACGAAGCGAGAGCAUGAACCACGUGCUAAAGAAAGGAUUUGUCAAGGGGACCCAGAACCUACACAAGUUUGCUAGGCAGGUCAAUGCUUGCAUACAAACUCGGAUGCAGAAGGAGAACGAGCAAACAACCAGCAUGGUAUGA